rnacentral:rRNA from 1 species
CAACUGAAGAGUUUGAUCAUGGCUCAGAUUGAACGCUGGCGGCAGGCCUAACACAUGCAAGUCGAGCGCGAAAGCACUUCGGUGUGAGUAGAGCGGCGGACGGGUGAGUAACGCGUAAGAAUCUACCUAGUAGUGGGGGACAACUCGAGGAAACUCGAGCUAAUACCGCAUACGCCCUACGGGGGAAAGCGGGGGACCUUCGGGCCUCGCGCUAUUAGAUGAGCUUGCGUUGGAUUAGCUUGUUGGUGAGGUAAUGGCUCACCAAGGCUACGAUCCAUAGCUGGUCUGAGAGGAUGAUCAGCCACACCGGGACUGAGACACGGCCCGGACUCCUACGGGAGGCAGCAGUGGGGAAUAUUGCGCAAUGGGCGAAAGCCUGACGCAGCCAUGCC